AAUUACACAGAAAUACACUUCGAUUUAACAGAACCCUACCAGGUCAGCUUGGGAGACAGAAAAUAAGUUGCCUUAAAUGUAAAUAGGUGUAAUUACGUUUUUAUUCCUAAAUUCUAACCGAUUUUCUAAAAUUCAAGCGUCCCUUUCGUCCUGCAGACCUCACUGUGGUUGCUAAAUAAUUAUGCCCGGACAGAAAAAAUAAAAACAAAACAAAAAAAAAAAAACCAAACAAACAAAUGAGGAAAUAGAGGUAAACUGAGGUGCACCGAUAGCAAGGGUCCAGACACCUGCCAUGACCCCACCCUCAUUCCAAUGUGCAGGGGUGAGGCCUGGAGCGAAGCAAUGCCUGGUCCCAGCUCACUGGCCCUUAGAGAUGACCACAGAUCCAGGGACUCCGCCCGGCGGCCAAGGGCAGCGGCCUGGUCAGGCGCUGCGGGCGCAGUACUCGGGAAGAAGCCAGGCUCUCUCAGAGAGAGACAGGAGAACAUUUUUACCAUCUUCCUGCAGUGGGACUUAGACAAAGGAAUAACGAACUGCAGAGCUGAGUGAAGCCCUGCACCUCCAGCUGAAGUUCAAGCCCAAGUGAGUCUAACAUCUCAAUUACAAGACACGGAGAAAGCAUGCCAGCCAGCCAAAACCGCCUGAAACCGAGGGAAGUCAUGAGGUUAGCACAUACAGUACCUUUAAACCACCAUUAGAACACUAUGAAUAUAUUUAGGAGUUUAAAAGAAAACACACAAUAUUAGAGAAAUGUGUGCUAUUAAAAAUACCAAACAGAAUAUUCUGCCCUUGUUGAUUUGAAUCCCCAGAUGGGAAGCCUGCAGAUGGAGACUGUCUGGUUGCAUAUAUUUAGUGUGAGUUUGUGUGUGUGUGUGUGUGUGUGUGUGUGUGUGUGUGUGUGUGUGUGUGUGUGUGUUAUUUGGGGAGCAUAAGAGUUAUAAACAGACAAGCAUAUUGAUCCGGUGUAUUUCGAAAUAUUAACAAGUUUAAGGGAUGCUCACAAAUAAAGAGUAACCAGACUAUUUAAAAAUUAUCCCUCACAACUUGGCCUUUUCCUAUCUAAAAUAUGCUAUGCUAUGACUUGAAGGGCUCUGAAAUACAGGCAAAUUAGGAACACGUUUAGCACAAUGUGCGUAGGGGUCUUUUCUGCUCAGUGCUUCUUUCUGUAUAAAUAGCUGUGGGGGAAAAAAUAGACCUGUCACUUUGCAAAUCUCACGGGGAUGAGCUGGACGACUUAAUGUGAAGGCAGCACUUAUGUACAGGCAAGAAAGCCUCGCAAUUUCCCUGAGAGGAUGUUUGGAGGACUCACAGGGAAGCACUGACAAUGGAACCAGGGAAAGAUGAGAAAGAACGGCACUAGUGAAGAUUCAUCAGUCACCCAUCUUCAUCCUAGUCCCAUGCUUAGGUUACCAUAGUAACAGACCUUUAGGAUGCCCUUAAGGCAAUUUACAGAAUUACUGUGCACACUGAAUACAGGCAACAUGAAGCAUUUGCUGUUGAAUAUGUUUAGUUACAUUUACGACAAAUAAUUCAUCAAGCCUCUUAGACAUAAAUUGUAUUUUGGGCAAAGGAAUAUAUUUUAACCAAUAGUUCAUAAUUAUUUUUAAGUAAAGUAUAGCUUAUAACUACUCCUAGGUUUAAAAAAAAAGUGUGUUAUCUGCUUUGCCUUUGGGAAUUGCAUCAGUUUCUUUUUGUCAUUGUGAUAAAAUGCCUUGACCGAAGGCAACUUAAGGAAGAAAGCGUUUAUUUGACCUCAAGGUUUCAGAGGGAGAGUUUAUAUUGGCAGGGGAGGUGUGGCAGCAGUGGUUAGAACAGGAAGCGGAGAGAUCACAUCUUCAUCCAUGCACAGGAAGCAGAAAGAGCAAACAAGAAGUGGAGUGACGCCAUAAACUCUCAGAGCCCGCCCUGCAAGGAGUCGAAGUCCUGAGUGGCUGAUGUCACUCAAUCCUGAGUGCACUCACGACACAGGCUCAGACAUGGCGGUACUAAGGCCUCAGACCUAUGGGAAUUGGCAAAGCCUCUCACCAUAUGGGCCAGGCUUGUCCCUCCAGUCCAAGCACCUGUGUCUACGGAGGACUGAACACUGCGUAAACAAAAACUAGCAACUGUGGCUUCUUCCUCAUGGAUGUUCACUGCCUGAGGUUGCUCACCUACAGAGGACUUCCUGCCAAGACUAGCUAACCCCUCUCCUGUGUGGAACCUAAUAAAUGGAUCUUGGUUGUGGAAGUAGUAGGUAUGGCUCUUGGAGCUCACAGACCACUUGACUCCA
rnacentral:sRNA from 1 species